rnacentral:rRNA from 1 species
AGAGCGCGGCGUACAGCUCAGUAACACGUGGCUAACCUGCCCUUGGGACGGGAAUACCCCCGGGAAACUGGGGCUAAUUCCCGAUAGGUGAAGAAUUCUGGAAUGAAUCUUCGCCCAAAGGACAUUUAUGUCAUGCUCAUAGGUGUUGCCCAGGGAUGGGGCCGCGUCCGAUCAGGUAGUUGGUGAGGUAAUGGCUCACCAAGCCUUUUACCGGUGCGGGCCGUGAGAGCGGGAGCCCGGAGAUGGGCACUGAGACAAGGGCCCAGGCCCUACGGGGCGCAGCAGUCGCGAAAACUUUGCAAUACACGAAAGUGUGACAAGGCUAUCCCGAGUGCCAUCCGCUGAGGAAGGCUUUUACCCAGUAUAAAUAGCUGGGAGAAUAAGGAGAGGGCAAGUCUGGUGUCAGCCGCCGCGGUAAUACCAGCUCUCCGAGUAGUGUGGAUGUUUAUUGGGCCUAAAGCAUCCGUAGCUUGCUAUGCAAGUC